AUACGGAGGACGCGAGCGUUAUCCGGAUUCAUUGGGUUUAAAGGGUGCGCAGGCGGCCGUGCAAGUCAGCGGUGAAAGCCCGGGGCUCAACCCCGGAAGUGCCGUUGAUACUGCAUGGCUGGAAUGCGGUCGAGGCGGGCGGAACGGGGCGUGUAGCGGGGGAAUGCGUAGAUAUGCCACAGAACGCCGAUAGCGGAGGAGGCUCGCCAGGCCUGCAUUGACGCUCGGGCACGAAAGCGUGGGGAUCGAACAGGAUUAGAUACCCUGGUAGUCCACGCCGUAAACGAUGGGCGCUCGUCGUCGGCGGCAGACAGUCGGCGGCCAAGCGAAAGCGAUAAGCGCCCCACCUGGGGAGUACGGUCGCAAGGCUGAAACUCAAAUGAAUUGACGGGG
rnacentral:rRNA from 1 species